AAGGAGAAAGGAGAAGAAGUUAGGAUUUGGGAGAGACGAAGAGUAGGAAGACAAACCACAGUUGGAGAUCGAAUCCAAGGUAAGAAACUUCGAAGCAAUACAUCUCUCGAUGCUGGAAAAGGAGUUUGGGUGGUGGAUUCACUCAUUCCGGCAAGAAAAUUCGAGAACGGACAAAGUUUCUUGAAGUUCCUGGACGAAAAUCAGAGUUAGUCGGAGCUCGGGUAAACCGAUCGAAAAUAGAAAAUGUGAGUUUUUCUGUAUCUUUGGACGACCUUAACUCAUCUUGUGCUCAA